GAGUUUAUUUACUACAUACACUUUAAUUAUUCACACAUAUACAUGUAUUCUGAUCUCAUGACACUAAAUAUCAGUGGAACAAUUUAUACAUGACAAACAUGUGUAAUAACAUUUGUCUCUUUCACAGAUUCCUGCUUCACCAGGUCGAUCCAGUCUGAGAGUCACAGUCCGGGCUCCUCCACAAAUCAUGGAGUCAACCAGGAUGAAACUCAUGUGUACAACUCUCUUCAUCCUGGUACCAAUAACCUCUAU